AUGACGGAGCGGGGGAAAAGGAGCUCCACAGAUUCUGAGAUUUCAGAGAGCUGGAGGACUGCCGAACAGCUCCUAACAAUGAUGAUAAUUAAUGCAUGCUGGCUCACUAGGAACAAACUAGCUAUCGAGGGUAUCUUCCCAUCUCACCCUGCUAACAUAAUCUACAAAUGCAACCUUCUUCUGCAGCAGUGGAGACCGUUGGCGAAGCGCAAGGAUGCUGAAAAACUGAAACAUGCCCAAGAUCGUCUCCGUCAGAUCUACGUUUUGGCUAGGGAGCCAUCUGCCACCUCUGCGCCGUGA
rnacentral:rRNA from 1 species